UGGGCUUACUGGAUUGAGAACUGUGCAC
rnacentral:piRNA from 1 species